CAGCUUUACCAUCAUCGCUGCCCCAGCAUUCCACUGCGAGAGAAUUGCCAUGUAUGGAUAUUGCGCAAUACAUGCUCAUUUCUUCAUAUGAAAAGUGUAGUGUAGGCUAUAGCAAACUGUAAAUAGUAGGUUAGGCUAUGCUUUGCACAAUCCUAAUUAUGAUUAUCAAUAUUCUGCUGCGGGACCACCAUCACCAGUCCAGAGGCAAGAGAUUGGGAAAGAUGGGACAGCGUGGACGAUUAUCGACUCUGGUGCAGGCGCAGGGAGACAGCAGUCCCAAAAUGUGCUGACGGAGUCCACUGGCCCUACAGCACACGCAAGGCAAAACACUGAAGACAAACUGAGUGUGUUCUUGUGUCUGUGUGAUGGGGUUUUGCUGCAGCACAUCCAAGAAUGCACAGUGGCCGAAGCACGCACAGAAAAUGAAGAUAAAGCCUUGGGGAUAUUUCAGUUGCUGAAUUGAAGGCCUGUAUCAUGCUUCUAUAUGUAAGGGGAGCAUACUGUCGCAAGAACAUUGACAUAGAGAAUUUCUGGUCCGAGCAAUGAGGGAACGCAUUCUUCAUCUCGACCAUGUCAAGGAGCCAGUUUCGAGAGAUUAUGUGCUUCCUACGCUUUGACCUGAAAGAGAGCAGGCAGUGCCGUCUGACUACAGACAAGUUCGCACUUAAACAGUCAACGUGCACCAGGAGAUACAAACUCUUUAACAUCCUGUAGGGGGCAUGAUUGAAGGUUUUCACCCAAUCAAAUGAUCAGUUAUCGAAGUCUGGUCUGGUAUUAGUAUCUAGGUGACAUGACUUGGUUCAGGUUAUCUGUCAUCGUUUAGUCAGCCUGAUCAGAAAUCAUCAUGGCCGCCAGUGGCGCAGGACAUGCUGACCAGAGGGGCAUCACAAUUUUAUGGCAAAAGAAAGGCGAGUACAGGAAUGAGAGAGAGGAUGAGAGUGAUAGAGGAGAUCCCUGCUAGCUCCUCAGACUCAGACUCCAGUGAUGUAGAUGAGGAAAUCAUUUUCAGCCAGCACGAGAGAGUCAGCGAGUGAGGAUAGUUCUACUGAGGAGGAAGAGGAGGAGGAGGAAGAGAUGGAUCGAAAGUCCAAAAAAGCCAAGGGAUUUAAGUGACAGUGCUUCUAUUGAGGGACACUUACAUGUGCAAUCUUGAAGAAACCGCUUAAAGCUGAAGAAAAGGUUUGAGCACCAGUCAACAGCAGCUGCCAGUGAAUUCAGAGCACCUGAUGAGCUGUCUUCUCCUUGUAGCUACUUGGUCCAAUUUUUUGAUGAUGAUCUGUUCCAGCUUAUUGCUGAACAGACAAAUCUCUACAGCUGUCAACUAAUUGGAGCCAGCAUUAACACCACUGUGGAUGAGCUCAAGUCAUUUGUUGGUAUGAAGCUAAUCAUGGGGGUGGUGAGAAUGCCAUCUAUGGAUGAUUAUUGGGCAGAAGGCACACGUUAUCCCAAAAUAGCCAAUGUGAUGCCGAUAAAAAGGUUUAAAUGCCUCUCAAGAUUCAUCCACUUUCAAGAUAAUGAGACAUCAGACCCUGCCCAGGAUCGGCUCUGCAAAGUCACACCAGUGCUGGAGCACAUAAGGAAGAAGUGUCUGGAAAUUGAUACCGAGAACCAGUUCUCCAUACAUGAGAUGGUCCGUUACAAGGGAACAAAGGCUGGGUCUAUCCGACAAUAUCUUCCAAGCAAACCACACCAUUGGGGUAUCAAGAUCUUUGUUCGAGCAGGUGUUUCUGGGAUAGUGUAUGAUUUCCUGACAUACCUUGGAAAGAGCACAUUUGGCACAUCACAGGGUCCUGUCAAAGAAAUUGGACUCGGAGCCAAUGUUGUUAUUCAACUCUGCAAAACCAUCAGGAACCCAUCAGAGUGUGUUGUGUACUUUGACAACUUUUUCCACAUCUCUACCACUCAUUGUGCAUCUGAAUGAGUCCUUUGGCUUGCAAAGUCUGGGAACCAUCCGCAAGAACAGGCUAAAGGGAUGUACCCUUGAGGAUGACCGUGAUCUGCUGAGGCAAGGAAGGGGCAGCUAUGACUACAGGGUGGAUAAUGAGGCAGAAGUGGCUGUUGUGAAAUGAGUUGAAAACAAAGCUGUCACUCUAGCUAGCUCCUGUGCUGCUGUAAGCCCUCUUAAAGAAGUCAGGCGUUUCUCCAAAGAAAAUAGAAGAAAAGUUGGUGUUCCUUGUCCAAACAUUGUGUCAUAAUACAAUGUCCACAUGGGAGGAGUUGACCUUGCUGACAUGUUGGUGGCCUUGUACCGCACCCCUGCAAAAUCCCACCAGUGGUACAUGUGCCUCUUUUGGCAAAUGGCUGAUAUAGCCAUCAACAAUGGAUGGCUGCUGUAUCACCGAGAUGCUAAAAGCCUUGGUGUUCAAAAGCACAAAAAGCUCAAGACGUUCAGGCUGGAGGUCACAGAUGCACUUAUCCAUGGUGGAAAGAAGAAGGGAAGGCCCUCCAAGGGAAGGGAGGAGGAUGUGCCCACCAGAUGCAUCCAAAGACCAACAACCCCAAGACCCGUGAAUGAUGUCCACUAUGAUCAAAUGGAUCACUUCCCAGUUUUUAUUAACAAGGGAAGGUGCAGGUUCUGCCCAGAUGGACAGACAACCAUCUCCUGUCAGAAAUGUGGUGUUCGUCUGUGCAUCGUCACUGGGAAAAGCCCACGCAACUGCUUCCAAAAAUUCCACAAAAAAUUAGAGAGGAAGGAAGGAGGAGGAGGAAUGAGAGAGAGGAAGUGAGAUGUAUUGUGGUUGUUCAUUUGUAUGUGCCUUAUCCUUUUUGAAUCAGUUGAAAAAUGUUAUUGUUGAAAAAUGAAUUGUAAUGUACUUUUGUUUUUACGUUAAUUUGUAUGUGGUUGCUAUUCACUUGUUAGAACUGGAUUGGUAGAACUGAAGGUUGUGGUAGGCCUAUACUUUGAGAGAAAUGAUCAAAUCAGUUUAAAAACUUGUAUGUGUGAUGUAAAUGAC